GUAGGGGGGCGAGCGUUGUCCGGAUUUAUUGGGGCGUAAAGAGCUCGUAGGCGGUUGCGUAAGUCGGGAUGUGAAAACUCAGGGGCUCAACCCUGAGAUGCCAUUCGAUACUGCGCUGACUCGAGUCCGGUAGGGGAGCAUGGAAUUCCUGGUGUAGCGGUGAAAUGCGCAGAUAUCAGGAGGAACACCAGUGGCGAAGGCGGUGCUCUGGGCCGGUACUGACGCUGAGGAGCGAAAGCAUGGGUAGCAAACAGGAUUAGAUACCCUGGUAGUCCAUGCCGUAAACGUUGGGCACUAGGUGUGGGGCCUACUUAACGGGUUCCGUGCCGUAGCUAACGCAUUAAGUGCCCCGCCUGGGGAGUACGGCCGCAAGGCUA
rnacentral:rRNA from 1 species